rnacentral:rRNA from 1 species
AUGGGAACAGUGCUGGACUCCCACUUCCUGGCGCUCACCGCCCUCGUCACCGUCGGGUACCAGCUGGUGUUCUUCAUCAUCACAGCCCUCCUCCGCUUCGACAAGGUCACGGAUUUCGCAGGCAGUACAAAUUUUGUCAUAAUCGCCGUCCUGGUAGCAGCUUUGAAGGGAACAUGGCACUUCCGUCAGAUCGUGUUGACAGUGCUUGUUAUAAUCUGGGGACUUCGUCUGGCAGUGUUUUUACUAAUGAGGAUUUUGCAAUGGGGAGAGGAUAAACGGUUUGAUGAGAUGCGCAGUAACUUGGGAAAAUUAGCUGUCUUCUGGACAUUUCAGGCUGUCUGGGUUUGGACUGUCAGCUUGCCUGUUACUAUUGUGAACGCAAGUAGCAGAAACCCUUCUAUUGAAGCUCGGGAUAUCAUUGGUUGGAUAAUGUGGGCCAUAGGGCUAGCUGUGGAAGCUAUAGCUGAUCAGCAAAAGCUUAAAUUCAAGAACUCUCCAAGCAAUAGGGGAAAGUGGUGUAAUGUGGGCCUUUGGAGUUAUACUCGGCACCCAAAUUACUUUGGGGAGAUGUUCCUUUGGUGGGGGGUGUUUGUAGCAUCAACCCCGGUUCUCUCAGGAGCUGAAUGGCUUGUAAUCUUGGGGCCCAUCUUCCUGACGCUCUUGCUUCUUUUCGUUAGUGGGAUCCCACUUCUUGAGUCAUCUGCUGAUAAGCGCUUUGGUCGGUCUGAGGAAUACCGCACAUACAAGAAAACCACAAGCCCUCUUAUCCCAUUGCCGCCGGUCGUGUAUGGAGCCCUGCCCGAUUGGUUCAAGGUGGCAUUCCUCCUGGAGCUGCCCCUCUACAACCCCGGACCGGAACGCGACCCCGUCAGCUGA